GACGAACCGAGCGAACGUUGUUCGGAAUCACUGGGCAUAAAGGGCGCGUAGGCGGGCCGUCAAGUCAGGGGUGAAAUCCUCCAGCUUAACUGGAGAACUGCCUUUGAUACUGACGGUCUCGAGUGAGGUAGGGGCGUGCGGAACUGAUGGUGGAGCGGUGAAAUGUGUUGAUAUCAUCAGGAACUCCGGUGGCGAAAGCGGCACGCUGGACCUUUACUGACGCUGAGGCGCGAAAGCCAGGGGAGCGAACGG
rnacentral:rRNA from 1 species